UACGUAGGGGGCUAGCGUUGUCCGGAAUCAUUGGGCGUAAAGCGCGUGUAGGCGGUCCGGUAAGUCCGCUGUGAAAGUCGAGGGCUCAACCCUCGAAUGCCGGUGGAUACUGUCGGGCUAGAGUACGGAAGAGGCGAGUGGAAUUCCUGGUGUAGCGGUGAAAUGCGCAGAUAUCAGGAGGAACACCCGUGGCGAAGGCGGCUCUCUGGGACGGUACUGACGCUGAGACGCGAAAGCGUGGGGAGCGAACAGG
rnacentral:rRNA from 1 species